rnacentral:lncRNA from 1 species
UUUGGUUUUAUCAGGGUUGUAAUGUGGCUUAAGGCAUAGGUGGGAAAAUAUAUAGCUUUGGGCUGUUCAGUUAAGGGCACAGCUACCCAUCCCUUUCUUACAUCAGACUCUACACAAUUCUUACGGGCCUAAGCACAAAACACAAUUUUAGACUCAUUUUUUUUUCUUUUCAUUUUUCAGUCCUUAUUAUUUUUUUCUUUUUUUUUCACAAAAGGGGCAUAAUGAAAUUGGUGAUCAUAGGCACAACCCCUCCCCAUUUUGUUCCUACUACUUCUCUUUACCUUUGACUUAUUCUUUGCCCUAAUUCAUUUGACCGAGUAUGCUCAUUCAUCUGGACAAAUUUAAGUGACUUUCCAAUUGAAACGAUCUGACUCAAAGGGGCUGUACAAGGGUUAGUACGUAGGGUUUGUCAUUUGGGCAUAUGGAUUAAGUGAAAGAAAAUGCCUAAGUUAUCUAAGUUCCAUAGACCAAUUCAAUGAGGCUUUGACCAGAAUGCGGGCAAGUUCUAGUUC